rnacentral:lncRNA from 1 species
UCUCCAACCCUUGGAGUGGUCAAUCCCAUUUCGAUCAUACUCUGACUUCGCAAGUACUUGACUGUGCCCAGAAGCCUUCCAUCCCUGAAUUAGAAAUUCAGUUAGUCCAGUACCAAAGCACAGUGAGUUGCUUGCAAGUCACUGAGGCGAUCUCAAGUCUAAGGGACACUUAUACCUAUAUCCCAUCAGAGAUAUUCUCGACAGCAGAAUACUAUGGAGUUGGUCACGUUCAAUGAUGAUGUACUAGUACAUCUCACCUGUAUGCCAUACCAGUGUCUCCACACUCUUUGGUUAAGAGGAUAACCAACCCAUAUGGCCUACAGCGACCUAUGCUCGAUAGAAGCUGUCGUCCUUAUUAAUAGCCUAUCAUUUGGUCGUGAACUGUUUUAAGGACU